AAUGAACGCUGGCGGCGUGUCUUAAGCAUGCAAGUCGUGCGGCAAGGGUAGCAAUACCCCUAGAGCGGCGGACUGGUGAGUAACGCGUGGGUGAUCUGCCCUUGGGUUUGGGAUAGCCAUUAGAAAUAGUGGGUAAUACCGAAUACGAUGGCGGGACUGUGGUCUUGUCAUGAAAGGCGCUUCGGCGCCACCCGAGGAUGAGCCCGCGUCCCAUUAGCUAGUUGGUGAGGUAACGGCCCACCAAGGCGAUGAUGGGUAGGCGGCCUGAGAGGGUGUACGCCCACACUGGGACUGAGAUACGGCCCAGACUCCUACGGGAGGCAGCAGCUAAGAAUAUUGCGCAAUGGACGAAAGUCUGACGGAGCGACGCCGCGUGGAUGACGAAGGCCGAAAGGUUGUAAAAUCCUUUUGUUGGGGAAGAAUAAGGCUGGGAGGGAAUGCCCGGCUGAUGACAUGAACCGACGAAUAAGUCCCGGCUAACUACGUGCCAGCCGCCGCCGUAA
rnacentral:rRNA from 1 species